AUUCUAGCAACUGGAGCAGCUUCAGGGGAGAGAGCACAUUAAGGGUGCUGGGAUGGUAAUGGUUGGGAGGAAGCUGAAUGGUAGUAAGAGAGACAUUCUGUCCUGAGAACUCUGAUCCACUUGAUGCAGAUGAGCAGGUAACCAUGGAAGUCGUGAGCUGAGGCUGCAGAGUCUAGAGCCAGAGUGUGGAAUAAACUUGGGUCUCAAAUCACCCCUGGAGCAAAGCACCCAUCUAAUCAGGAACUUCUACUUUCAACUUUACAUGCGUGAGAAAUGAACUUCUAUCAUGUUAGAGAAAUCCUUACACGGCGCCCUUGAGAGCUUUCAUACUGCAAGUCAUCCAUUUUCCUCCCCUCAAACCUGGCAUCGGAGUUUAUUGAAACAAAGCAAAAUAAAACAAAUAGACAAA